rnacentral:rRNA from 1 species
ACGGCUCAGUAACACGUGGAUAACUUACCCUUUGGGCCGGGAUAACCCCUGGGAAACUGGGGCUAAUACCGGAUAGAGCAUCGAUCGCUGGAAUGCACGAUGCUCGAAAGCUCCGGCGCCAAAGGAUAGGUCUGCGGCCGAUUAGGUCGUUGUUGAUGUAACGGAUCAACAAGCCACCGAUCGGUAUGGGUUGUGAGAGCAAUAGCCCAGAGAUGGGUUCUGAGAGAAGAACCCAGGUCCUACGGGACGCAUCAGGCGCGAAAACUUUACACUGUGCGCAAGCACGAUAAGGGAACUCUGAGUGCCUCCUCAGGAGGCUGUUCAGGUGUCUAAAACGCAUCUGAAGGAAGGGCUGGGUAAGACUGGUGCCAGCCGCCGCGGUAACACCAGCAGCCCAAGUGGUAGCCACUCUUACUGGGUCUAAAGCGUCCGUAGCCGGCCAGGUAAGUUCCUUGGGAAAUUUGAUCGCUCAACGAUCAAGCUUCCAGGGGAUACUGCCUGGCUUGGGACCGGGAGAGGUCAGAGGUACCUCAAGGGUAGGGGUGAAAUCCGUUAAUCCUUGGGGGACCGCCAGUAGCGAAGGCGUCUGUCUAGACCGGAUCCGACGGUGAGGGACGAAGGCUAGGGGAGCGAACCGGAUUAGAUACCCGGGUAGUCCUAGCUGUAAACGAUGCGGGCUAGGUGUUGGCAUUACUGCGAGUGAUGCCAGUGCCGAAGGGAAGCCGUUAAGCUCGCCAUCUGGGGAGUACGGUCGCAAGGCUGAAACUUGAAGGAAUUGGCGGGGGAGCA